rnacentral:rRNA from 1 species
AGAGUUUGAUCCUGGCUCAGGACGAACGCUGGCGGCGUGCCUAAUACAUGCAAGUAGAACGCUGAAGAGAGGAGCUUGCUCUUCUUGGAUGAGUUGCGAACGGGUGAGUAACGCGUAGGUAACCUGCCUUGUAGCGGGGGAUAACUAUUGGAAACGAUAGCUAAUACCGCAUAACAAUGGAUGACACAUGUCAUUUAUUUGAAAGGGGCAAUUGCUCCACUACAAGAUGGACCUGCGUUGUAUUAGCUAGUAGGUGAGGUAAUGGCUCACCUAGGCGACGAUACAUAGCCGACCUGAGAGGGUGAUCGGCCACACUGGGACUGAGACACGGCCCAGACUCCUACGGGAGGCAGCAGUAGGGAAUCUUCGGCAAUGGGGGCAACCCUGACCGAGCAACGCCGCGUGAGUGAAGAAGGUUUUCGGAUCGUAAAGCUCUGUUGUAAGUCAAGAACGGGUGUGAGAGUGGAAAGUUCACACUGUGACGGUAGCUUACCAGAAAGGGACGGCUAACUACGUGCCAGCAGCCGCGGUAAUACGUAGGUCCCGAGCGUUGUCCGGAUUUAUUGGGCGUAAAGCGAGCGCAGGCGGUUUGAUAAGUCUGAAGUUAAAGGCUGUGGCUCAACCAUAGUUCGCUUUGGAAACUGUCAAACUUGAGUGCAGAAGGGGAGAGUGGAAUUCCAUGUGUAGCGGUGAAAUGCGUAGAUAUAUGGAGGAACACCGGUGGCGAAAGCGGCUCUCUGGUCUGUAACUGACGCUGAGGCUCGAAAGCGUGGGGAGCGAACAGGAUUAGAUACCCUGGUAGUCCACGCCGUAAACGGUGGAUGCUGGAUGUGGGGACCAUUCCACGGUCUCCGUGUCGGAGCCAACGCGUUAAGCAUCCCGCCUGGGGAGUACGGCCGCAAGGCUAAAACUCAAAGAAAUUGACGGGGGCCCGCACAAGCGGCGGAGCAUGCGGAUUAAUUCGAUGCAACGCGAAGAACCUUACCUGGGCUUGACAUGUUCCCGACAGCCCCAGAGAUGGGGCCUCCCUUCGGGGCGGGUUCACAGGUGGUGCAUGGUCGUCGUCAGCUCGUGUCGUGAGAUGUUGGGUUAAGUCCCGCAACGAGCGCAACCCUCGCCCUGUGUUGCCAGCACGUCAUGGUGGGAACUCACGGGGGACCGCCGGGGUCAACUCGGAGGAAGGUGGGGAUGACGUCAGAUCAUCAUGCCCCUUACGUCCAGGGCUUCACGCAUGCUACAAUGGCCGGUACAACGGGAUGCGACACCGCGAGGUGGAGCGGAUCCCUUAAAACCGGUCUCAGUUCGGAUUGGAGUCUGCAACCCGACUCCAUGAAGGCGGAGUCGCUAGUAAUCGCGGAUCAGCAACGCCGCGGUGAAUGCGUUCCCGGGCCUUGUACACACCGCCCGUCAAGUCAUGAAAGUGGGUAGCACCCGAAGCCGGUGGCCCAACCUUUUGGGGGGAGCCGUCUAAGGUGAGACUCGUGAUUGGGACUAAGUCGUAACAAGGUAGCCGUACCGGAAGGUGCGGCUG